rnacentral:rRNA from 1 species
AGCGAACGCUGGCGGCAGGCUUAACACAUGCAAGUCGAACGGGCGUAGCAAUACGUCAGUGGCAGACGGGUGAGUAACGCGUGGGAACGUACCUUUUGGUUCGGAACAACACAGGGAAACUUGUGCUAAUACCGGAUAAGCCCUUACGGGGAAAGAUUUAUCGCCGAAAGAUCGGCCCGCGUCUGAUUAGCUAGUUGGUGAGGUAAUGGCUCACCAAGGCGACGAUCAGUAGCUGGUCUGAGAGGAUGAUCAGCCACACUGGAACUGAGACACGGUCCAGACUCCUACGGGAGGCAGCAGUGGGGAAUAUUGCGCAAUGGGCGAAAGCCUGACGCAGCAACGCCGCGUGUGUGAUGAAGGCCUCGGUUG